AUGACAUUUAGGGGAAGAGGUCAAUUCAAGAGGGCUGUUGUGAAGUAUGGUCUAGCUAUGAAGAGGCACAUUUCCUUUGUAAAAGAUGAGGCUGGUAGGAUUAGGGAAAAAUGUUCUUGGCUAAAGUGUCCAUGGUUGAUAUAUGCUGCAAAGAGGAGCUCAAAUGAAUGGUUUCAGGUCAUUACACCUGUAGACAAACAUAUAUGCCCACAGAGGAGAGACAACAGGUUGGUAACUGCCCCUAGAAUUGCACAUAAAUAUGAGAGAAUCAUGAAGGCCAAUCCAGGCUGGAAAGUGAAAUCUAUUAAGGCCACUGUAAGGUUGGAGUUGUUUGUAGAUGUGCAUGUUUUCAAGAUAAAGAAAGCAAAAUCAAUAGUCAGAAACAGAGUGUAA
rnacentral:rRNA from 1 species